ensembl:lncRNA
AUCUUGCUGGAGAUCUGCCUGCCUGGGGAUUUUUACUAGGCCUUCUGAAGUCCUCAGGAUAUUACCCCCAUGAUUUUUCCAAGAUUACCAAGAGUGGACUUGCAGCAAUAACAACAACAUCAACUCCUUCAGCAUAUGUGUGUGCCUGCCGUCCAGGCCCAUAGCUUUAUGUAGAUCUGGUUUGCUUAAAUAUUCCCUAUCCAGGUCCUCCUCCAUCAAGGGGACAGCACCUAGACGGCUGGUUGCUUUCUACUCCUCCAGGCACUGUUCACCUUUUCUGGAGACAUCUCACAGCCAUCCCUGUUUCAUGUGGAGUCACAUCCCUGGAGAUGUUCUACAACACAGGAACCUGGACCACAUGGACUUUGAACAAAGACUGAUGAGGAGCUUGCUACCUCUUCUUAAUGACACAAAUUCUCCUGAGAGAACAUGGAAGCAUAUGCAGGUGGUGUUUUUCUAGACCUCUUCCUGUGUCUGUAAGAGUGUGAAAGAGCUGUGGUGGAUCCUCUUUCUGAAGGAAGGAAUUGACUUUGCCAAUGCCAGCCACGCUGGUAAGGGAGGAAUUCCCUACAGUCUUCACAGAGCAGGCUAUACAGAACAUGUGCUGUAAGUGGGGCUUUCUCACUUUUGGGGGUUGGGCUUUCCCUGCACACAGGUCCCUCCUGAAGUGCUGAGCUUGGGAAUUUAAUUAGCUGAAUGUUUCUUCUCUUUUUAUUUCACUUUUUCUUCAAAGAAUUAAGUAGUGAGAAAGAAUUCUGGCUGUUUCAAACAGCAUGCAGGAAAUGAGCAAGCUGAAUGGUGUGUUUGCCAGCACAUGGACCUUUCUGGCAUACCUAAAUUUUGUCUGGACUAUAGAUUUUCCUUAUGGUUAGACAUUAGUAGCCAACCAUCAAAAGCUUUUCCAUACAGAACAAAAGCCAUGAUUUGCUGUGGUCCGUGCCUCUGACUAAUAAAUAUGUCCUGAGAUGCCCCGGGAUG